UACAGAGACUGCAAGCGUUAUUCGGAUUCACUGGGCUUAAAGGGUGCGCAGGUGGCCAAGUGUGUUAGGCGUGAAAGCCCGGGGCUUAACCCCGGAAUUGCACCUAAAACUACCUGGCUAGAGCAUUGGAGAGGGGAGCAGAAUUCACGGUGUAGCAGUGAAAUGCGUAGAUAUCGUGAGGAAUACCAGAGGCGAAGGCGGCUCCCUGGACAAUUGCUGACACUCAGGCACGAAAGCGUGGGGAGCAAAAGGG
rnacentral:rRNA from 1 species